UACGUAGGUCCCGAGCGUUGUCCGGAUUUAUUGGGCGUAAAGCGAGCGCAGGUGGUUUAUUAAGUCUGGUGUAAAAGGCAGUGGCUCAACCAUUGUAUGCAUUGGAAACUGGGAGACUUGAGUGCAGAAGAGGAGAGUGGAACUCCAUGUGUAGCGGUGAAAUGCGUAGAUAUAUGGAAGAACACCAGUGGCGAAAGCGGCUCUCUGGUCUGUAACUGACGCUGAGGUUCGAAAGCGUGGGUAGCAAACAGG
rnacentral:rRNA from 1 species